UCACCUUUAUGGUCAUUUUGAUUUGAAUAACAAAAUUACCAAUGCAUGUACAUUUAUAUAAAUAUUCUCUUUUUAAAAUUUCAGGAUGUGAUGCAUUCUUUUUUAACUGCAACCCUGCUUUGAUUGAUUGUUUUCAAAAUCCGUGCAUAAACUCCGUGUGUCCAGCUUUUCCAACGGCCUCUUGCAGGACUGGAUGUAGCUGCGAAGCAGAAUGGUACGUU